rnacentral:rRNA from 1 species
UACGAAGGGGGCUAGCGUUGCUCGGAAUUACUGGGCGUAAAGCGCACGUAGGCGGCUUUCUAAGUCGGAGGUGAAAUCCUGGAGCUCAACUCCAGAACUGCCUUCGAUACUGGAAGACUUGAGUCCGGGAGAGGUGAGUGGAACUGCGAGUGUAGAGGUGAAAUUCGUAGAUAUUCGCAAGAACACCAGUGGCGAAGGCGGCUCACUGGCCCGGUACUGACGCUGAGGUGCGAAAGCGUGGGGAGCAAACAGG